UACGGAGGGUGCAAGCGUUAUCCGGAUUUAUUAGGUUUAAAGGGUGCGUAGGUGGAUUUAUAAGUCAGUGGUGAAAUCCCGGAGCUCAACUUCGGAACUGCCAUUGAUACUGUAGAUCUUGAGUGCGUUUGAGGUAUGCGGAAUGUGUAAUGUAGCGGUGAAAUGCAUAGAUAUUACACAGAACUCCGAUUGCGAAGGCAGCAUACUAAACCGUAACUGACACUGAUGCACGAAAGCGUGGGUAGCGAACAGG
rnacentral:rRNA from 1 species